rnacentral:rRNA from 1 species
GACGAACGCUGGCGGCGUGCUUAACACAUGCAAGUCGAACGAUGAAGCGCCAGCUUGCUGGUGUGGAUUAGUGGCGAACGGGUGAGUAACACGUGAGUAACCUGCCCCCUACUCUAGGAUAAGCCUGGGAAACUGGGUCUAAUACUGGAUAUGACCAAUCACUGCAUGGUGUGUUGGUGGAAAGAUUUUUUGGUGGGGGAUGGACUCGCGGCCUAUCAGCUUGUUGGUGGGGUAAUGGCCUACCAAGGCGACGACGGGUAGCCGGCCUGAGAGGGCGACCGGCCACACUGGGACUGAGACACGGCCCAGACUCCUACGGGAGGCAGCAGUGGGGAAUAUUGCACAAUGGGCGAAAGCCUGAUGCAGCGACGCCGCGUGAGGGAUGACGGCCUUCGGGUUGUAAACCUCUUUCACCAGGGACGAAGCUAACGUGACGGUACCUGGAGAAGAAGCACCGGCUAACUACGUG